GCCCCAGACUCCUACGGGAGGCAGCAGUGGGGAAUAUUGCACAAUGGGGGAAACCCUGAUGCAGCGACGCCGCGUGAGUGAGGAAGUAUUUCGGUAUGUAAAGCUCUAUCAGCAGGGAAGAAAAUGACGGUACCUGACCAAGAAGCCCCGGCUAACUACGUGCCAGCAGCCGCGGUAAUACGUAGGGGGCAAGCGUUAUCCGGAUUUACUGGGUGUAAAGGGAGCGUAGGCGGCUGUGUAAGCCAGAAGUGAAAGCCCGAGGCUCAACCCCGGCGAGCCGUUGAAACUGGCGGGCUGGAGUUGGAGAGAAGUACGCGGAAUGCGCGGUGUAGCGGUGAAAUGCAUAGAUAUCACGCAGAACUCCGAUUGCGAAGGCAGCGCACCGGCGCCCUACUGACGCUCAGGCACGAAAGCGUGGGUAUCGAACAGGAUUAGAUACCCGUGUAC
rnacentral:rRNA from 1 species